GCAUUGUGUGACUAGGCUGCUUCGGGAGACAGUGAGGUUGUUCUGCUUGGGGAGUAGCCCGUCAAAGAGUCUUUCUAUCUACUAAAGCAUAUAAAGGAAAAAUCUAAGAUUGAGGCGAGCUUAUAGGUGUAUUCGGAAUCGUGGAGUGCAUUAGCUGUGAUAUACUCUAUUAACAGAACAGCCACUCUUCGUAUUGGCUAACAUGAUGGAGCCCCUGAUUAGAGACUUGGCGAGGUUGUGAUUGGAUAGAAUCGUCUUUCCUUUUGCUAUAAGCCUCGGUCUGUGGAAGCCUUAGCGACUUGUUCGCUUGAUGGGUUCAGUCUUUAGUGGAUUAGCGUCAAAAUUUUCUUUGUUCCGUUUCUGCAUUCCUGCAUGACCUAUAUUUCAGGUAUGCCCUUUGC
rnacentral:lncRNA from 1 species